GCUGCUAAAAGAAUCAUGGAGAAUCGACAAGACCAUGGCGAGCACAUCACUGCAUCAUUACGAGUGGCGCACGUGAUGUGGCCGGCAUGGGGCCAUCCCGCCGAGGCGGCGGCGGCGGCGAGCCCCCUGCCUCUCGUCCUCCGGUGCCUGGCGCAAGCACUCGCCACCGGCUUCCACCGCUUCCUAGCAAGAUUUUCAGGUCGAAGACGAUCACUAUAUCGAUACAAUCCGAAAUAUCCGCCACCUUGGGCCUUCCUAGUUUUAGUGUUAGCGUCUUCUUUAUUUAGUAUAGUCGAUGCGUGUUCGUCACGCACCACGCCGAAACCGAGGCCUCCAGCACCUACUGCACGGCCUAACAUCACAUUCCACACGUACGAAUGUCCGCCGGCGUACGCGGCCUGGUACUGCCUUAACGGAGCAACGUGCUUUACCGUCAAAAUUGGCGAUUCCCUCCUAUACAAUUGCGAGUGUGCAGAAGGUUACAUGGGUCCUAGAUGUGAAUAUAAAGAUUUAGACGGUUCAUAUUUACCGUCACAACGAAGGUUCAUGUUGGAAACGGCGAGUAUAGCCGGUGGGGCGACGAUAGCCGUUUUUUUAGUGGUGAUAGUGUGCGUCGUUGUGUAUCUGCAGUAUAAACGCUAUAAUAAAAUGAGUCGUGCGAGCACGGACUGCGUGGACGGACACAGCACCCCUUUGAACACGCCGACCUUCGGCACCCGAUGGCGGACGAGUCCGCCGGCGGAUAUCCCGGUGGCGGUGCAAGAAGCGGGCGACUCGAAGGAGGUCAGUUGGAACGUGAUCAGGUCGCAGCGAUACACGCUUCCAAUCAAUCGCGACGUGUGCAGUGCAUAGCUAGCAAACUGCUAUUCAAAUUAACAGUGAUGUCGGCUUUAAUGUGUUAUAGAAUCAAACUAUGCCUUUGUAAACCAACAAAUACAGAACUUAUUGUCAAUCCUUUGGCAGAACCUACAGUUUGGAGUAAUGUUGUCAAACAUUUUGCGAAAUUCCUACGUCCGAAUGCGACUUUUUGGAUUGUUCCGAUUUUGCUAGCUAUGACUUGGCGUUCUCAGUGAGCAGAACUGUGUCACAACAGUGUAUUUGUACAGCAAGUCUGAUAUAUGUGAAGAAGUAAUGGGUCCGCGGAACGAACUGUAGCCCAGUGACCGAAUCGUCGUGGGCAAAAAUACUCUUGUGGCAGUCACCGAAGUCCAUUCCCCAGAUUUUUACAUUGCGGUCAGCUGACCCUGUGGCAAUCAGUGCAGAAUCGGACGAAAUGUCCAAGCAAAGGACUGGCAGUUUGUGGCCGUAUAACGAGAGAUAAAACUUUAAAGUAUCGACGAAAAAUAUCUUGACUGUCGUGUCCAAAAGCCCCACUGCGAUGAAUUUGCCAUUGGGCGAGAUUUUGACGCAUAGAACUGAGUCCUCGAGCUUCAGCGUCUUGACGUGGAGGAGUGAAAGCACUUUGGCUUUGCUUUCGCUUUUCUCGUCGACCACUAACUCGAAUUGCCAGAAUUUGACGGUCUUGUCGCCCCCUCCAGUCACACAACCCCUCUUUAAAAAUUAGUGUUAGUAGAGUUACAAGUUUUGGUUUUGUGAUCAAUUAAAUACUUGGUCUGGUUGUAAACAAAUGGCCCAGA